AGAGUUUGAUCCUGGCUCAGAUUGAACGCUGGCGGCAUGCUUUACACAUGCAAGUCGAACGGGGUGAGGGGGCAACUCCUCAUUCAGUGGCGAACGGGUGAGUAAUGCAUCGGAACGUGCCCCGUAGUGGGGGAUAACGCCGCGAAAGCGGCGCUAAUACCGCAUACGCUCUAUGGAGGAAAGCAGGGGACCUGAGAGGGCCUUGUGCUAGGGGGGCGGCCGAUGUCCGAUUAGCUAGUUGGUGGGGUAAUGGCUUACCAAGGCGACGAUCGGUAGCUGGUCUGAGAGGAUGAUCAGCCACACUGGGACUGAGACACGGCCCAGACUCCUAUGGGAGGCAGCAGUGGGGAAUUUUGGACAAUGGGGGCAACCCUGAUCCAGCCAUGCCGCGUGCGGGAAGAAGGCCUUCGGGUUGUAAACCGCUUUUAGCCGGGAAGAAAAGGCGCGGGCUAAUACCUCGUGUUUUUGACGGUACCGGCGGAAUAAGCACCGGCUAACUACGUGCCAGCAGCCGCGGUAAUACGUAGGGUGCGAGCGUUAAUCGGAAUUACUGGGCGUAAAGCGUGCGCAGGCGGUUCGUUGUGUCGGCGGUGAAAGCCCCGGGCUUAACCUGGGAACGGCAGUUGAAACUGGCGAACUGGAGUGUGGCAGAGGGGGGUGGAAUUCCGCGUGUAGCAGUGAAAUGCGUAGAGAUGCGGAGGAACACCGAUGGCGAAGGCAGCCCCCUGGGCCAAUACUGACGCUCAGGCACGAAAGCGUGGGGAGCAAACAGGAUUAGAUACCCUGGUAGUCCACGCCCU
rnacentral:rRNA from 1 species